UACGGAGGGUGCGAGCGUUGUCCGGAAUCAUUGGGCGUAAAGGGCGCGUAGGUGGCUUCUUAAGCGUGCGGUGAAAGCCUGGGGCUCAACCCCGGGUCGGCCGUGCGAACUGGGGGGCUGGAGCACUGUAGAGGCAGGCGGAAUUCCGGGUGUAGCGGUGGAAUGCGUAGAGAUCCGGAAGAACACCGGUGGCGAAGGCGGCAUCCUGGACCGGCAUUGACGCUGAGGCGCGAAAGCCAGGGGAGCAAACGGG
rnacentral:rRNA from 1 species